rnacentral:ncRNA from 1 species
GCGCCACGUUGCUUACGGGCGCGUGGGCCGACCAUCAAACCUAUGGUCAGCCGUGUUGUCCUGCUUCGGCGAAUACCUUUGGGGGUCUGGUAGAGCGUCUAGUAGCCUGUGGCGACACACGGCGAACGACGCGGCCAGC